CCACUGCGCCUGAAGGUACCUCCAAAGGAAGCUCCGGCUAACUCCGUGCCAGCAGCCGCGGUAAUACGGAGGGAGCGAACGUUGUUCGGAUUUACUGGGUGUAAAGGGUGCGUAGGCGGCUACGUGUGUCAGAGGUGAAAGCUCACGGCUCAACCGUGGAAUUGCCUUUGAAACUGCGUAGCUUGAGUCCGAGAGAGGAUGAUGGAAUUCCUGGUGUAACGGUGAAAUGUGCAGAUAUCAGGAAGAACACCGGUGGCGAAGGCGGUCAUCUGGCUCGGUACUGACGCUGAGGCACGAAAGCUAGGGUAUCAAACGGGAUUAGAUACCCCGGUAGUCCUAGCCGUAAACGAUGUCCACUAGGUGUCGGAGGUUCUACCCCUUCGGUGCCGCAGCUAACGCAUUAAGUGGACCACCUGGGGAGUACGCUCGCAAGGGUGAAACUCAAAGGAAUUGACGGGGGCCCGCACAAGCGGUGGAGCAUGUGGUUUAAUUCGAUGCAACGCGAAGAACCUUACCUGGGCUUGACAUGCAGGGGACAGGUGUAGAGAUACACCCUUCUUCGGACUCCUGUACAGGUGCUGCAUGGCUGUCGUCAGCUCGUGUCGUGAAAUGUUGGGUUAAGUCCCGCAACGAGCGCAACCCUUGUCCUUAGUUGCCAGCACGUCAUGGUGGGAACUCUAGGGAGACUGCCGGUGACAAACCGGAGGAAGGUGGGGACGACGUCAAGUCAUCAUGGCCCUUACGUCCAGGGCUACACACGUGCUACAAUGGCACAUACAGAGGGCCGCGAACCCGCGAGGGGGAGCCAAUCCCAAAAAGUGUGCCUCAGUUCGGAUCGCAGUCUGCAACUCGACUGCGUGAAGUCGGAAUCGCUAGUA
rnacentral:rRNA from 1 species